AUUGAACGCUGGCGGCAUGCCUUACACAUGCAAGUCGAACGGCAGCACGGGAGCAAUCCUGGUGGCGAGUGGCGAACGGGUGAGUAAUAUACCGGAACGUGCCCAGUCGUGGGGGAUAACGCAGCGAAAGCUGUGCUAAUACCGCAUACGAUCUAAGGAUGAAAGCGGGGGAUCGCAAGACCUCGCGCGAUUGGAGCGGCCGAUAUCAGAUUAGCUAGUCGGUGGGGUAAAGGCCCACCAAGGCGACGAUCUGUAGCUGGUCUGAGAGGACGACCAGCCACACUGGAACUGAGACACGGUCCAGACUCCUACGGGAGGCAGCAGUGGGGAAUUUUGGACAAUGGGCGCAAGCCUGAUCCAGCAAUGCCGCGUGCAGGAUGAAGGCCUUCGGGUUGUAAACUGCUUUUGUACGGAACGAAACGGCCCUUUCUAAUACAAGGGGCUAAUGACGGUACCGUAAGAAUAAGCACCGGCUAACUACGUGCCAGCCGCGCAGUAAGAC
rnacentral:rRNA from 1 species